rnacentral:rRNA from 1 species
AGGGUUCGAUUCUGGCUCAGGAUGAACGCUAGCUACAGGCUUAACACAUGCAGGUCGAGGGGCAGCAUGAUCUUAGCUUGCUAAGAUUGAUGGCGACCGGCGCACGGGUGAGUAACGCGUAUCCAACCUUCCCUGUACUAGGGGAUAGCCCGGCGAAAGUCGGAUUAAUACCCUAUGUUUUCCGAAGCGAGCAUUUAAUUUGGAACAAAGGUUUACCGGUAUAGGAUGGGGAUGCGUCUGAUUAGAUAGUAGGCGGGGUAACGGCCCACCUAGUCGACGAUCAGUAGGGGUUCUGAGAGGAAGGUCCCCCACAUUGGAACUGAGACACGGUCCAAACUCCUACGGGAGGCAGCAGUGAGGAAUAUUGGUCAAUGGGCGAGAGCCUGAACCAGCCAAGUAGCGUGCAGGAUGACGGCCCUAUGGGUUGUAAACUGCUUUUAUAUAGGGAUAAAGUGAGGGACGUGUCCCUUAUUGUAGGUACUAUAUGAAUAAGGACCGGCUAAUUCCGUGCCAGCAGCGGC